rnacentral:lncRNA from 1 species
GAGGACCGUAUUCAUGGAAGAGGAUCGAACAGAUUGAUAACUUAGGUUCUAAAGGAGGUUUUUAAAGAAGUGAGUUAAAGAAGUUUUUAAAACAAGUUGUGAGGGAGAGGGACAUGAUAAAUGGGAUACACGGAGGAAAUGGUACGGAAGACUACUGAGUUCUUAUGAGAAAAAUGGCUCUUAAGAAAUUGAAGGUGAUACCAAAGGAAAGUUACUUAUUACUUUUGGACUUUGAUGAUGAGGACGAUGAUAUAAAAGUUUCAGAGGAGGCUCUUUCGGAAGAGAUGAAGUAGACAGUAUGUUGGAUAAAUCUGAAGCUGCAUCAUUGGACUCAAACUGAAUGGUCCAUGUGUUGCCACUGAUGUGAGCCAUU